GGGCCCAUUUCCCACAAGGCCUGAGCUCCUGGUGGAAGCAGCUGGAAGACAGAGGAGCUUCCAGCAGAAGAGGUUUGACUGGCCACAUGGAGAAGAAAGAAAAUUUGCCCUGGAGAAAAUAAAGGUCCUAUUCAAGACCUCCAGGACUGUCAAAUUCAGGACAUGGAGCAGGACAUAUCGUCAAUCAUGGUAAAUGCAUUUCUUUGUCUUAGAGAAAUGUUUCUUUCUGGGGCCUUCUAGAAUAUCAAGUGAAUAUCAUUUUUCACUGCCAUUGUGCAUCAGGCCUCAGUUGUCAUGACUCUAGUGACAGGUCACUGGAGUUAAUUGAGUUAAUUACCAACUGAAGCCUGAUUGACAAUGUCAGUCAAAGGACUGCAUCACUUACAAACUGGUAGUGAGCAUAUUUCUUAGUAGCAACCUUUUCUUCUUGAAAAAAAUUAUUUUGCAUUUGCCAGCCAACAUGCACUUGCUAAAUAUUCCAUGAAAACUCAC